rnacentral:rRNA from 1 species
CCUACGGGAGGCAGCAGUGGGGGAUAUUGCACAAUGGGGGGAACCCUGAUGCAGCGACGCCGCGUGGGUGAAGAAGCGCCUCGGCGCGUAAAGCCCUGUCAGCAGGGAAGAAAAUGACGGUACCUGAAGAAGAAGCCCCGGCUAACUACGUGCCAGCAGCCGCGGGAAUACGUAGGGGGCAAGCGUUAUCCGGAUUUACUGGGCGUAAAGGGGGCGCAGACGGGGAUGCAAGCCAGGAGUGAAAGCCCGGGGCCCAACCCCGGGACUGCUAUUGGAACUGCGUGGCUGGAGUGCAGGAGGGGUAGGCGGAAUUCCUGGUGUAGCGGUGAAAUGCGUAGAUAUCAGGAGGAACACCGGUGGCGAAGGCGGCCUGCUGGACUGCAACUGACGUUGAGGCCCGAAAGCGUGGGGAGCAAACAGGAUUAGAUACCCCGGUAGUC